AGGAAUAUUGGUCAAUGGGGGCAACCCUGAACCAGCCAAGUCGCGUGAAGGAUGAAGGUCUUAUGGAUUGUAAACUUCUUUUACACGGGAAUAAAGUGGGGGACGUGUCCCCCUUUGCAUGUACUGUAUGAAUAAGGAUCGGCUAACUCCGUGCCAGCAGCCGCGGUAAUACGGAGGAUCCGAGCGUUAUCCGGAUUUAUUGGGUUUAAAGGGUGCGCAGGCGGGAUGUUAAGUCGGCGGCGAAAUUUUGCAGCUCAACUGUAAAAGUGCCUUCGAUACUGGCCUCCUUGAGUGUGGAUGAAGUAGGCGGAAUUUGUGGUGUAGCGGUGAAAUGCUUAGAUAUCACGAGGAACUCCGAUUGCGCAGGCAGCUUACUAAGCCACAACUGACGCCCAUGCACGAAGGCGUGGGGAUCAAACA
rnacentral:rRNA from 1 species